rnacentral:rRNA from 1 species
GAUGAACGCUAGCGACAGGCCUAACACAUGCAAGUCGAGGGGCAGCACAUGAGUAGCAAUACGAUGGUGGCGACCGGCGCACGGGUGAGUAACACGUAUGCAACCUGCCUGUAAGAGGGGAAUAACCCGGAGAAAUUCGGACUAAUACCGCAUAAUACCACGAGACUGCAUGGUUUUGUGGUUAAACAUUUAUGGCUUACAGAUGGGCAUGCGUAUGAUUAGAUAGUUGGUAGGGUAACGGCCUACCAAGUCUACGAUCAUUAGGGGUUCUGAGAGGACGGUCCCCCACACUGGUACUGGUACACGGACCAGACUCCUACGGGAGGCAGCAGUGAGGAAUAUUGGUCAAUGGGCGAUAGCCUGAACCAGCCAAGUCGCGUGAAGGAAGAAGGUUCUAUGGAUUGUAAACUUCUUUUGCAGGGGAAUAAAGGACGGUACGUGUACUGUUUUGUAUGUACCUUGCGAAUAAGGAUCGGCUAACUCCGUGCCAGCCGCCGCGGUAAGAC